UACGUAGGGUGCAAGCGUUUGUCCGGAAUUAUUGGGCGUAAAGAGCUCGUAGGCGGUCUGUCACGUCGGCUGUGAAAACCCGGGGCUCAACCCCGGGCCUGCAGUCGAUACGGGCAGACUAGAGUGCGGUAGGGGAGACUGGAAUUCCUGGUGUAGCGGUGGAAUGCGCAGAUAUCAGGAAGAACACCCGUGGCGAAGGCAGGCUCUCUGGAACGCAACUGACGCUGAGACGCGAAAGCGUGGGGAGCAAACAGG
rnacentral:rRNA from 1 species